AAUUAAUUAUUAGUUAAUUAGUUCAAUUAAUUAGUAACUGCUGGAGUAACAGCUGUUGCUCCUGUUUGUUGUGUAAGACAGUUGUGACCCUUGGUCUCAUGUGGUGCUCGUAAUGGCAUCACAGUAGAGCAGCAAAGUAAUGGUGCCGCAAGUCAAUUACUGCCUCUUUUCUUACAGAUAUAUUCACAUUGCUGCAGAUUAAUGAGGUAAUAUGUGUCGAGUCUCUUCCAGCUUGAGAUAUUCUACGAUUCUACAGAUUAUAUAACAGCUCUCAAGAGGAAGCUGCUAACAAGCCCAUCUGAUAUUCUGUGCCAGCUUUUUUAGUGGAGGCGUGCUGCAUGAGACUGAGCUCCACCCUGUUUGUCGAGCAAAGCGUUUGGAAAAUGACACAGCCUGAAGAAAAACGGGAAUUCAAAAUCUGGCUCCAGAUUUCCUUGUGAACCAGUCUGCUCCUCCGCAUCUCUAGAAAGGGACAGUUCUCCUGUGCUGUAAAUGAUACCUGAGGCUUGACAUCUAUGCAGUCUCCAAAGACAGAAUCUAAAAAGUAAAACCUACAAGCUCAGGUAAGCUCAGGUGAACUCAGCUGCUAAUAUGCAGAAAUAAGCUGGUUUUACCAUAAUUUUAU
rnacentral:lncRNA from 1 species